rnacentral:rRNA from 1 species
GACGAACGCUGGCGGCGCGCUUAAUACAUGCAAGUCGAGCGAGAACCGGGGCUUCGGCCCCGGGGACAGCGGCGAACGGGUGAGUAACACGCGGAUAACCUGCCCUCGGCACCGGGAUAGCCCGGGGAAACCCGGAUUAAUACCGGAUGGCCCAGCCGGCUCACGGGCUGGCUGGAAAAGGUAGCUUCGGCCUCUGGCCGAGGAUGGGUCCGCGGCGGAUUAGCUUGUUGGCGGGGUAACGGCCCACCAAGGCGACGAUCCGUAGCUGGUCUGAGAGGACGAGCAGCCACACUGGGACUGAGACACGGCCCAGACUCCUACGGGAGGCAGCAGUAGGGAAUCUUGCGCAAUGGGCGAAAGCCUGACGCAGCGACGCCGCGUGAGGGAAGAAGGCCUUCGGGUUGUAAACCUCUUUCAGGAGGGACGAAGCUACUCGGGUGAACAGCCCAGAGGGUGACGGUACCUCCAGAAGAAGCCCCGGCUAACUACGUGCCAGCCGCCGCGGUAA